UACGUAGGGUGCAAGCGUUGUCCGGAAUUAUUGGGCGUAAAGAGCUCGUAGGCGGUUUGUCGCGUCGGCUGUGAAAACCUAGGGCUCAACUCUGGGCUUGCAGCCGAUACGGGCAGACUGGAGUACUGCAGGGGAGACUGGAAUUCCUGGUGUAGCGGUGGAAUGCGCAGAUAUCAGGAGGAACACCGGUGGCGAAGGCGGGUCUCUGGGCAGUAACUGACGCUGAGGAGCGAAAGCGUGGGGAGCGAACAGG
rnacentral:rRNA from 1 species